CAAACCACAGUUUGCCUCGCUCCCUGUGAGCAAUGCUGUUGAUAUAACGACCCAGCUCAGACAGGGAAGGUAAAGGCUGAACUGUUGUUUUAUUUUUGUAGCAAAACUGAUUCUAAAUGGUUGACUCCCAUCCUUUGUUUUUCUUAAGGAUUUCUAGUGGCUGCCACUGAUUUCCUACAGGAGGGCACUGUGGAAGGAAGGAGAGGUGGUACGCAUGGGGAAAGAUCAAAGUGCUUUCAGAGAUCUGCAGUAGUAUCGCAUUCUUCUUUCGAUUACGUGAGUGCAGCUGAAGACCUGGAGCAGCAGUGAUGAGGUGCAUGCACUGCAGCUACUCCCUUCCCUAUUCUCAUAGGAAGCUCAUGCGUUGAGGUAGGUGGAGGCAUUAGGUUUUCCAAAAGUUUCUUGACUUCCGAUAUCGUUAUCAUCCGUGAGGAGGGAGAUCUGCAAAAUGGAGAGGAUGGGUUACCUGGUGUCUGCGUUGCGGCAGCGCUCUUCUGCCAGCCAAGGAUGAGUGGUCGCUCACCUCAGUGGAGCCAUUUGUUCUUCAUUAUGUGGUAUAAAACACGGGGUGUUCUGCCCUGCCAGCCUGGAGGAAGUUCUUAGUUCAUACUAGUUGGUGAUAACACCAAUCCUUAAGUUUUUGUGCUUCUGUUUACCAAGCCAUUUUUUUCAGUCUUGUCCGGGAAGUUAUUCAGCAAGUUAUUGUCAAAGGUGAUCAACAUCUAAUCUUGGAGUUGUGUCUCCAGAAAUAUCAGGCUGAUAUUAUCAAAGUGAUAUUUCAGGAAAGAAUGUCAAACUGAUGGAUUACAGGAAACUGCAGAGAAAGCUACUGUUUUACUGGAUCUUAAGGAGAUGACAGAUCCAUGAGUCCCUGUGUUCUGUCAAAGCUGCAGACACGCAUAACUGUAGCUAGAAGGGGUAGCUGCUUUACUGUUACUGUUUGUUGUCAUCAGAUAUUGGUUUAGAUAAGACGUAAAUUUAGUUCAUAUUACUCAGAAAAUCAGCAGCCGCCUUCUUCCAGGAAUAGUGACCCCCUGACAGUGGGACUGGCCCAUGUUGGGAGUGCCUCAUACCCGCCAUAGAGUCUGCCUGAUGGUGAGUAAAGAGGAAGAGUGGUUGGAAGGAGAUUUGCCAGCGGCAGUGUAAUUAAACCAAAUAUUAAAUGGCAAGAGAGUGACAGGAUCCCCAGGUUAGCUCCAUAUUUACUACAAUCCCUCUCUAAUCAGCCACAACAAAGAGAAAGCAGAGGCUUUAUUUCUCUUGCUGAAAGCUGCUGUCUUAUAAGUCAAGUUGCAGAGAUAUCUGUAGAUCCCAUGGUUGUGGAGGAGCAUGUACAAACAUGCAUCAUCAAGUAGUCUCUCAGCUCUGGGAAUAAAGGCCUGAGGUGACAGUUCAAGCUUUUGCCUUCCUGAUGUUUCA
rnacentral:lncRNA from 1 species